rnacentral:pre_miRNA from 1 species
UUAACUCAAAUUUGUACGGAGUUGGAACGUUUGCCUACGUUUACCGCUAGGGGCGCUGAUCCUACUCGAUACAAAUUUGAGUUA